CUGAUGCGGAGGAAGUGGGGACCUCCGUUACUUCUGGAUCUAGUGGGAUUCGUGAGUUGCAGGAUCAGCUUGCGAUGCUGACAGAUCUGGUGACACAGCAGGCUGCGGCAGCGUAACAACAGAUGGAUGCUGCGCGCCGACAAGAGGAAAGGAUGAAAUGGUUAGAGGAUCUAUUACUGUGGCAGACGACGGACAGAGAGAUU
rnacentral:lncRNA from 1 species